rnacentral:rRNA from 1 species
UACGUAGGGUGCGAGCGUUAAUCGGAUUUACUGGGCGUAAAGCGUGCGCAGGCGGCCCGUUAAGACAGGUGUGAAAUCCCUGGGCUCAACCUAGGAAUUGCGCUUGUGACUGGCGGGCUCGAGUACGGUAGAGGGGGGUGGAAUUCCUGGUGUAGCAGUGAAAUGCGUAGAGAUCAGGAGGAACACCGGUGGAGAAGGCAGCCCCCUGGGCCUGUACUGACGCUCAUGCACGAAAGCGUGGGGAGCAAACAGG